ACUAGGGUCACAGCAUUAAGACAGUUGAGAUUAAAGAAGAGGAAUGGUGAGACGGAGGCUUAGGCUUUACAAAUUCACAGUGAAGAACUUACAGUUUUUAAGGAUCACUCAUAAUAUACAAAUAAUAUUUCUCAGUUCUUAAUAGCUUGAGAAUGGUUUUGAAUCUGGAGACACAUUUUCUUUCGGUUCUUUUCCUUUUUUAUCUAAGAAGGAGAAAAUCUGCUGUGAGAAUUGUUGCUGACAGAUGACACCUGCCACAAUUUUAGGAUCCAACAGAACGUUUUUGAUAAAGCUACCCUAACCUUAACUGCUCCCAACCAAUGACUGCACACGGUUCAUAUGACCUAUUUAUUCUGAACAUGGGAUCUAAUCCAAGUGAAGUUUUGGUACCAUUGUGAUGACAGAAAUUUAAUCCAUCUGGAAAGUCUUUAUAUUCAUUGGCUGAUACCAUGGAGCACAAUAUGCCAAGAAUCUAUCAAAAAUUAAAAAUUUUUGAUGAUACCUCUGAAAACAAUUUUUCUCUGAAGUCUUUAAUUUGCUAAAGAGCAAAUUAGAAGAUUCAUAUCUCCACUCUUUGUUG